rfam:Microlunatus soli strain DSM 21800 genome assembly, chromosome: I
CACGGCUCGUGUCUUCAGGCUUCAGCCCUGGGAUCUGACUCCCUGGCGCAACUUCCCCGGCGCCAGGUAGUACUUCCCGCAGAUCCAGGGCUGAAACCCGAGGACACGAACCGUGCUCG